CAGAAACUACAAAGGAAGUUGACGGGGGCCCGGCACAAGCGGAGGAGCAUGUGGUUUAAUUCGAUGAUACGCGAGGAACCUUACCUGGGCUCGAACGUAAGAUGACUGUAGGUGAAAGCUUACAUCUCUUCGGAGCAUUUUACGAGGUGCUGCAUGGUUGUCGUCAGCUCGUGCCGUGAGGUGUCGGGUUAAGUCCCAUAACGAGCGCAACCCCUACCUUUAGUUGCCAUCAGGUUAAGCUGGGGACUCUAAAGGAACUGCCUACGCAAGUAGUGAGGAAGGCGGGGAUGACGUCAAAUCAGCACGGCCCUUACGUCCAGGGCUACACACGUGCUACAAUGGCCGAUACAGAGGGCAGCUACCUGGUGACAGGAUGCAAAUCUCCAAAGUCGGUCUCAGUUCGGAUCGGAGUCUGCAACCCGACUCCGUGAAGUUGGAUUCGCUAGUAAUCGCGCAUCAGCCAUGGCGCGGUGAAUACGUUCCCGGGCCUU
rnacentral:rRNA from 1 species